GAUGAACGCUGGCGGCGUGCCUAAUACAUGCAAGUCGAGCGAACAGACGAGGAGCUUGCUCCUCUGACGUUAGCGGCGGACGGGUGAGUAACACGUGGAUAACCUACCUAUAAGACUGGGAUAACUUCGGGAAACCGGAGCUAAUACCGGAUAAUAUAUUGAACCGCAUGGUUCAAUAGCGAAAGACGGUUUUGCUGUCACUUAUAGAUGGAUCCGCGCCGCAUUAGCUAGUUGGUAAGGUAACGGCUUACCAAGGCAACGAUGCGUAGCCGACCUGAGAGGGUGAUCGGCCACACUGGAACUGAGCCACGGUCCAGACUCCUACGGGAGGCAGCAGUAGGGAAUCUUCCGCAAUGGGCGAAAGCCUGACGGAGCAACGCCGCGUGAGUGAUGAAGGUCUUCGGAUCGUAAAACUCUGUUAUUAGGGAAGAACAAGUGUGUAAGUAACUAUGCACGUCUUGACGGUACCUAAUCAGAAAGCCACGGCUAACUACGUG
rnacentral:rRNA from 1 species